AGUGAACGCUGGCGGUAGGCCUAACACAUGCAAGUCGAACGGCAGCACAGUAAGAGCUUGCUCUUACGGGUGGCGAGUGGCGGACGGGUGAGGAAUACAUCGGAAUCUACUUUUUCGUGGGGGAUAACGUAGGGAAACUUACGCUAAUACCGCAUACGACCUACGGGUGAAAGCAGGGGAUCUUCGGACCUUGCGCGAUUGAAUGAGCCGAUGUCGGAUUAGCUAGUUGGCGGGGUAAAGGCCCACCAAGGCGACGAUCCGUAGCUGGUCUGAGAGGAUGAUCAGCCACACUGGAACUGAGACACGGUCCAGACUCCUACGGGAGGCAGCAGUGGGGAAUAUUGGAUAAUGGGCGCAGGCCUGAUCCAGCCAUACCGCGUGGGUGAAGAAGGCCUUCGGGUUGUAAAGCCCUUUUGUUGGGAAAGAAAAGCAGCAGGUUAAUACCCCGCUGUUCUGACGGUACCCAAAGAAUAAGCACCGGCUAACUUCGUG
rnacentral:rRNA from 1 species